ensembl:snRNA U6 U6 spliceosomal RNA
UUUCUUCAUGUAUCCUAGAGAAGAAAAAAAAAAAGGAAAAAUACAGAGAAAAUUAGUACGGCCCUUGCAUGAGGAUGACAUUCAAAUCCCUAAGAUACAUGAAUUACUAUU